AUUGAACGCUGGCGGCAGGCUUAACACAUGCAAGUCGAGCGGAGAUGAGGUGCUUGCACCUUAUCUUAGCGGCGGACGGGUGAGUAAUGCUUAGGAAUCUGCCUAUUAGUGGGGGACAACAUUCCGAAAGGAAUGCUAAUACCGCAUACGCCCUACGGGGGAAAGCAGGGGAUCUUCGGACCUUGCGCUAAUAGAUGAGCCUAAGUCGGAUUAGCUAGUUGGUGGGGUAAAGGCCUACCAAGGCGACGAUCUGUAGCGGGUCUGAGAGGAUGAUCCGCCACACUGGGACAGAGACACGGCCCAGACUCCUACGGGGGGCAGCAGUGGGGAAUAUUGGACAAUGGGCGGAAGCCUGAUCCAGCCAUGCCGCGUGUGUGAAGAAGGUCUUUUGGUUGUAAAGCACUUUAAGCAAGGAGGAGGCUACCUGGAUUAAUACUCUAGGAUAGUGGACGUUACUCGCAGAAUAAGCACCGGCUAACUCUGUGCCAGCCGCCGCCGUAAAAC
rnacentral:rRNA from 1 species